UAAAAGGGUCGGUUGGCUAAAUAUGCCACGCUCGCCCUCGAUUGGUGAGUGCUGUAUGGCUAUCAAGACAUAUGGCCGACAUAAUUUGUGGAACUCCAAUAGGGUUGGCUCGUUUUGGCCGACCCUCCU